UUUUUUUUUUUUUUUUUUUUUUUUUAAGAUUUUAUUUACUUAAGAGAGAGCACAGAGGCAGAGGGAAAGGAUGAAGCCGACUCACCAUUGUGCAGGCAGCCUGAUGUGGGGCUCAAUCCCAGAAUCCCAAGAUCAUAACUUGAGCCAAAGACAGACGCUCAACCAACUGAGCCACCCAGGUGCCCCUUGUCUUGCACAUAUAAACUGCCAGCUGCUUCUGGGUCUGGAUGUUUCCACACUCAAACUUGGCAGAAAAGUAAAGACUUAUUUCCCCAAAUGGCUGAAUUCAAACUUCCAGAAUUGAAGUUUGUUUGUUUUUUUAGCUCUUAUUGACCUGAUUUGGGUCAUAUGCUCAUCUCUGAACCGAUCACUGGGGCUAGGAAUUUGGAAUGUAUUGGUUAGUUUGAGCCAUUUAAAGUUCAUUCCUGGAAUGGGGUUGAAGUCAAUCCCACUCAAACCACAUGGCUGAGGAUUCAGUGUCCUAUUAGGAAAGAGGGGAAAGGAAAGGUGGGAUGGAAGCCAGGAAAUGGCAAGCAAAGACCAUUAUCCCUAUUUUCUUUGCCAGAGCAAGGAGGUCUGUGCAUAUUUGGGGGAAGGGCAGGGAGGUCUGAGUGCAUGGUUGUGGAGGGUAUGGCUCCUGAGGCAGGAGAGGGAUUCAGAGACAGGAGGCUGAACAAGAGGAAGCCAAUCUUUAGCCUUUGGGUUGUAGUUCUAGUUUAUACCUUGGUCUUGUUUUCCUAACAGGAUGGCCUUUGCAAGGGUGUACAUUUAUGGGUAGGGGACAGGAAGGAAAUUGAGAGAGCUGGAGGCACAGUCCCGGAAAUCUGUUUUUAGGGCAUUAUAAAGGCCAGAUUUCUGGUUCCUUUUGGGCCCUUACAACACUGGAGUGCAAGGGUUGAGGAAGGAGCUGGUGGGGGUCUCCAGGAACAAGUGACAGCUAGUACAAGAGACAGAUGGUGAGAACUCUGGUUUCUGGACCCAGUGCCACCCUGAUUUGCUCUGUGAUCCUGGGGCAGGAGCUGCUCUUCUCUGAGACUUCACUUCCCAAUCUGUACAAUGAUCUAGAUCAGGCCUUUACUAUUUUUUCAAUCUUAAGGAUGCCUUCAAUUAUUUUUCCUACAUGCCACUGCCUUCCACUUACCCUAUUUACUGAGUUGUUAUUGUUCAUUUUUAAGUUUUUAUGUAGUUUGUUUUAUGGUGAAAAAUUUAUACAAAUAUAGAUCGAGCCAAUGCUGUAUCUUUACUUUUUCCUUUUGUUUUUAUAGCAACCUUUUUUUUUUUUUUUUUACUCUGUUCUUAUGUGUCUUAUGCUGAUUUUCUUGAGUUCUUUACUUCUCAUCCAGGCCAUAUCUUGCAAAUUUAUGUUUGGGUUCAUUUCUCUUUGCAUGAUCCAAGAAAUUAUAAAUUUUAUCUGUUUUGCUAUCACCAAGGUGGGUUCAAGUCUGAGGACAAAGAUAAUUGUCUGGUGUGUUUCUGUACAUUUUGGUUAGUUUUUCUCAAAUUUCUGGCUUAGGUACUAUUGCCUUCCCAGGGUAAAGGACCUCUGUGACCAUUUGUUUCUGCAGGAAGACUAGGUGUGUCAUAAAUGUCCAUGCUUGGUUGGUUACUUGUGUCAUAUAUAAUAUGGCUGCUCGUCAGGCCACCAGGAAGGAAAAAAAUCCUCAAUCAUGUUUAAAUAUUUUAUAUACUAGUCAAUCUGUGAUUUUUGCUGUGUGUUUCUGUCACUCAAAUUUGUGUUAAUGAAAGUCUCACAGAACUGUCCUUCAGACUUUUGCAGGAGCCAAGAACAAGCUAUGGAAGGAUUUGGGAAAGAAUUGAUCGUGCUUCGUCCAAAAUACGUCUUGAAUCCAACUACUUCUCUCUCCCACUCUAGUCCAAGCCACCAUCUUCUUUCCCCUGUUUGACUGCAGCAUCUUCUCACUGGUCUUCCUGCUAUCAGCCUCGCUUCCUCCAAUCCAUUCUCCACUCAGUGGUCAGAAGGAUAUUUUUGAAAUCUUAAUUAUGGUCAUGUUCCACCCCAUGGUGGACUUCCUAUUGCUUUUAGAAUAAAAAUCCAACCUAGCAUCAAUGGUUCACAAAGGCCAUUUGUCCUUUGCCUACUUUUCCAGUCUCACCUUUUAUUCAUUUCACUCCACAUUGGCCUCCCUCAUUGCAAACUCAAUCCCCUCCUCACCAUAUACACCAUUCACUAUUGCCAGUUCUUUAUAUCAGUGGUUCCUUCUCAUUUUUUAGGUCUCAGCUUAAAUACUACUUCCUCAAACAGGCUUUCCUUGACUACCCAAUCUAGUCAAUAGUAGGUCCUCUGCCGUUCACUGUCAUUGCUCUUUGUUGCCCUCAUAGGUCUAAUCAUAACCUCUAAUUAUUUUGCCUGACUACUUCUAUUUUGUAUGACUCCUUGCUAGACUAUAAACCCCAAUAUGGGAGCAACUGUGUCUAUCUUUCUUACCACCAUUAUUAGUGGACAUUUGCCUUUUUCUUCCCAUCCAGCAUCCAAUCACCUUUGCCUUCACUCAUAUGAUUUCACCUAGCUACCUUCAGGGUGCUGUCCUAAGACAUACUUAGUAAAUUCAUCAUCUGACUUCUCACAGAUCUUUUUCUCUUGCUGUCCUACACACAGCCAAGAGGCAGGCAUGGGGCCUAAUCUCAAUCAAUCACAUGCUCUUUCCAAGAACAUUAAAUCUGGGCAGCUCUGGUGGCUCAGCAGUUUAGCGCCGCCUUCAGCCCAGGGCAUGAUCCUGGAGACCUGGGAUCAAGUCCCACAUCAGGCUCCCUGCAUGGAGCCUGCUUCUUCCUCUGCCUGUGUCUCUGCCUCUCUCUCUGUGUCUCUCAUGAAUAAAUAAAAUC
rnacentral:lncRNA from 1 species